rnacentral:lncRNA from 1 species
AGGGGAGAUUUGUUGAAUAUUAAACUCAAUCUAGAUGGUCAAGGAAGGCAACCACCGGCCAGCCAGCCACCAGCUGUGACCGACCAGCCGCCAGCCACCAGCCGCAGCCGUCAGCCGCCUUCACACCACCGUCCACAGCCGCCUUCACACUUGAAGGUUGAAUUAUCUUGUUUUGAAUUUAUGUAUAAAUAGCAAGCUCAGCUUAUGUUAUUGAGUGUGGGAGAUAAUAGAGAGAAACACUAGAGAGAAAGAGAGAGGGCGUGUAUUAAGCUUUUUGUGUUUGUAAGCUAUUUGUUUCUUGUAAUAAAACUUUGUGUUUUAUCCCCUCCGAGUGUUUCAAGACCACCACAAGUGGUUUCUCCCACCAACAAUAAGUGCCUGAUUCAAUAUACGGAAUUUGAUCUACAGCAAAAGGUCAGAUAAGUGUUUUGAAGACAAUUUUGUUAUUUGCAUGAUGCAUUUGAGAAAACAAACAUAUAUGACAACAUGAGCAAAGCAUGCACACACAUUAAAAACCAGCUGCC